AUUUAUAUAGUAUAAAUAGUACAAUUAAUUUCCAAUUAAUAAGAUUAAUAAUAAUAUAAAUA
rnacentral:tRNA from 1 species